AGCAGCCGCGGUAAUUCCAGCUCCAAUAGCGUAUAUUAAAGUUGUUGCAGUUAAAAGCUCGUAGUUGAACUUCGGGGUUUACCCAUUGGUCAGGCUUAAUUGUCUGUACUGGUGAGAUAAAUCUCUACCUUCUGAGGAACUUUCAUGCCAUUUAUUUGGUGUGGUUGGAAAUCAGGACUAUUACUUUGAAAAAUUAGAGUGUUUAAAGCAGGCUAACGUCUGAAUAUAUUAGCAUGGAAUAAUGAAAUAGGACGGCUUGGUUCUAUUUCGUUGGUUUCUAGGAUCACCGUAAUGAUUAAUAGGGAUAGUUGGGGGCAUUAGUAUUCAAUUGUCAGAGGUGAAAUUCUUGGAUUUAUUGAAGACUAACUACUGCGAAAGCAUUUGCCAAGGAUGUUUUCAUUAAUCAAGAACGAAAGUUAGGGAUCGAAGACGAUCAGGUACCGUCGUAGUCUUAACCAUAAACUAUGCCGACUAGGGAUCGGGCGAUGUUGUUUCAAUGACUCGCUCGGCACCUUAUAC
rnacentral:misc_RNA from 1 species